rnacentral:lncRNA from 1 species
UUUUUAACAUAAACUGUUAUCUCAUUUCAUUCAAAAUCAACCGGUAAACAUACAACUAUACAAAUAGGAAUUCAAUAAAAAAAAUUGAGUCUAGUAAACCUGUUGCCGCACCAGCGAUUGAGUUAACCUGUUAAAAAAUGCUUUGAGUGUGUUGUUAAAUUACAUCUUAACUUCUAACACCAAGUGUUAAAACUAAUUUAUUGGACCAAAUUGCCUAUCAUCUAAAACGAUCUACAAUUGGAAUUGGAUUGUCACCGCACUUGAUUUUAAAGAACUUUACAAAACCAUUAACGGCUCCAUGUACACAUCUAUCAGCCCUAACUAUAUCACAAUUUAAAAAACGUCAACAAGAGAAGGAUUGAAUUUUUAACCUGUCUCAAGAACGUCACCAACAAAACGUACACAUAUUUACACAAGGAAGAAAAAAAAAAUCCUAUCUCCAAUCAAUAAUUGGGAAAUAGAAAAAGAAAAGGAACGAAUCAUAUCAAAUGAUCUAUCCUCACCAACUUUUCUGGUGGCCAUGUUUCCCUGAAUUCUUGUCAUUUGAAUAAUCCUUGGAAUCACCAGUUCUUGGAGAAGCUAACUCUUCAGGAUUCAUCAUCUUCAUACUAUCAUUCAGCCACCCCCUAACAUAGUCUCUCUUCUUAGAGUUCAUCAUCGAUUUGUUCCUUGGUUUUGAACUAUCAUAAUAUUCACUCAAUGUGGGGACCACAUACCACACAACACAAGUGCAAAGUGUAGCAACCGAUCUCCCAAAAACAACCAAAAAAACCAAAAUCAACAUCACAACCGCUGGCACAUAGAAGGAUGGCCUCUUCAACAUAUUCCAAGAAAAGCUCAAAUUCUUCUUAUGAGAUUCCAACUUAUUGAGUUUCUGCUUCCUUUCUUUCAAGGUUGCUUCUUCAUCAGAUUUCUCCAAUUGCUCCGAGAAAGAUGUUAUGUGUCUUGCUUUGNNNNN